rnacentral:rRNA from 1 species
UAGCUAGUUGGUGAGGUAACGGCUUACCAAGGCGACGAUCUGUAGCGGGUCUGAGAGGAUGAUCCGCCACACUGGAACUGAGACACGGUCCAGACUCCUACGGGAGGCAGCAGUGGGGAAUUUUGGACAAUGGGGGCAACCCUGAUCCAGCCAUGCCGCGUGAGUGAAGAAGGCCUUCGGGUUGUAAAGCUCUUUCGGCCGGGAAGAAAUCGCAUGGGCCAAUACCCUGUGUGGAUGACGGUACCGGAAUAAGAAGCACCGGCUAACUACGUGCCAGCAGCCGCGGUAAUACGUAGGGUGCGAGCGUUAAUCGGAAUUACUGGGCGUAAAGCGUGCGCAGGCGGUUUUGUAGGACAGGCGUGAAAUCCCCGGGCUCAACCUGGGAACUGCGUUUGUGACUGCAAGGCUAGAGUACGGCAGAGGGGGGUGGAAUUCCACGUGUAGCAGUGAAAUGCGUAGAGAUGUGGAGGAACACCAAUGGCGAAGGCAGCCCCCUGGGUCGAUACUGACGCUCAUGCACGAAAGCGUGGGUAGCAAACAGGAUUAGAUACCCUGGUAGUCCACGCCCUAAACUAUGUCAACUAGGUGUUGGGUGGGUAAAACCAUUUAGUACCGUAGCUAACGCGUGAAGUUGACCGCCUGGGGAGUACGGCCGCAAGGUUAAAACUCAAAGGAAUUGACGGGGACCCGCACAAGCGGUGGAUGAUGUGGAUUAAUUCGAUGCAACGCGAAAAACCUUACCUACCCUUGACAUGCCAGGAACUUGCCAGAGAUGGCUUGGUGCCCGAAAGGGAGCCUGGACACAGGUGCUGCAUGGCUGUCGUCAGCUCGUGUCGUGAGAUGUUGGGUUAAGUCCCGCAACGAGCGCAACCCUUGUCGUUAAUUGCCAUCAUUUAGUUGGGCACUUUAGCGAGACUGCCGGUGACAAACCGGAGGAAGGUGGGGGUGACGUCAAGUCCUCAUGGCCCUUAUGGGUAGGGCUUCACACGUCAUACAAUGGUCGGUACAAAGGGUCGCCAAGCCGCGAGGUGGAGCCAAUCCCAGAAAGCCGAUCGUAGUCCGGAUUGCAGGCUGCAACUCGCCUGCAUGAAGUCGGAAUCGCUAGUAAUCGUGGAUCAGCAUGUCACGGUGAAUACGUUCCCGGGUCUUGUACACACCGCCCGUCACACCAUGGGAGCGGGUUCCGCCAGAAGUAGGUAGCCUAACCGCAAGGAGGGCGCUUACCACGGCGGGGUUCGUGACUGGGGUGAAGUCGUAACAAGGUAGCCGUAGGGGAACCUGCGGCUG